UUAAUAAACAAUUAAUAAUCCACAGUAGGAAUGUUCCUUUACAGCUUAUAAAGCAGAGUUGUCAGAGUAGCUUACCAUGGAGUUGGGAGGCAUGUACAUGCAGAUCCCAGUGGUGGUGAAGAGGUGACUUUCGUUGUGGUGGAUGUCAUGUGUUUCAGUAUUGUAAGCCUGUCUUGCUGAAGGGGUUUGACUGUGCUUUCAAUGUUGAGUUGUUCAUUUAUGACCACCGAGAGCACUGUAUCUUGAUAAAGUACAGUGCAUGCUUGUCAAAGUUACUUCGUGGCAUUGGUUGAGAGAGUAGGACGUUUUCCUGGAGUGAAGACCCUGGGUUCGUUUCCUUGCUACUCCCAUUGUAGUGUAUCUUUGGACAAUGCACUUUAUAUGAGAGACAAACUAGCUAGGUACCAGCAGAUUGCUGGGUGUAAAGUAAAGGUUUAAUCUUACUUAUACUGGAAUGAAUGAUGAUGCUACAAAGUCAACUAUGUUUUUUAAGCUGUAAUGUACAUAUUCUACUGUAGGAACAAAAUUCUAUUAAUGUCAGAUAAACAAUUUGCAAAAUCAUCAAAGGGUAGUUAGUGUCAACAGACAAGACAGAAGUGACAGGAACAUUAGUCUAGACAUCUAGGAUGGCACCUACAAAUAAUUGUCAUACUAUUGAAGGUUUGGGGUUAGGUGGAGACAUAAAAUAUAAUUUGUUACAAUAGCUCGCUAGGUAGACAGACAGACAGAUAGAGAGACAGACAGGCAUCUUGGAAUAUGUGAUUGUUAACUGGUAAUUACAAGGUUGGGGGUUAAUGCGUUAGGGUGGGGGCAAGUUUUUGGCAUGGGGGUUGGGAAAAGUGGAUUUUCAGGGAUAUUUAUCAGAACACUAUUUAUUGUCACAUGAUGGAGUAGGGGAUGCAUUGUUAAUAUAUUUUGGGAAAAAAAGGAUCUAAAAUGCAUUGGCUGUGAAACAUGAUGGUGAUAGAGUCAUCAUAUCGUGAUACUUAAUUUUGUUGCUCAAUCAAAUGUUCACUUUUUUUAAACUGGUAUGCAUUUUUGUGUUUCUGCCAGUUGUGAGAUAUAUCUGUUUUUUUGUUCGUUUUUUUUUUACAACUGUUUUUUGUACAUAGUUUAAAAAUCAAAAAUGUGUACAAAAGCUUAUCAACAACAAAGCAAAACAGGACCACCUUUCCACUAUUGGGGAAUUGGGAUCAGAGGCAUUUGGUAGUAAAAUUUCUUGUCAUUUUAAAGAAAAAGGGAAUAAAGGGAAGUUAUGAAAAGUGGUGUUUUUGAUAAAUUUUACAUAAAACAUUGAAUUGAGGUUUAAAUAAGGAAGUGUACACAUCUAAAUUUUUUAGCUGGAAUCUGAUAAUUUUUUUUUCAUUAUAUUUUUUACAGGAUUUUUUUCCAAACUAAGGAGUGGUAGAUAAGUCUAGAAAUGUUUAAAAUGAGGGCUCUGCUUAAAUCUAUUUUCACUUUCUGAAACAUUAUCAACAAUGAUUUCUGAACAUUUCUGCUUUUCCAUAGAGUACAGGCAUAGUGCACAGGUGCUCGUCUGAAACUAUAUAGGGAAUUUUUUUUUUUUCAUUAUAGCAUUAAAAAUAAUGGAGUGAAAUACUAUAAGACAGAUUACAGUGCAGCUGGUAAAGUUUUCAUGUGUCUUUCAACACUAGAGCAUCCUUUGCUUCAUUUACAUAAUAACUUGUUUUAUCUUAAGGUAUACUCCACUCCCUUUCAUAUACAUGAAUUACACAAUGUAUAUUUCUAUAUAUACCUCAUAUACCUCACUCAAUUGUAUACCCCUGUAGUACUCCACCCAGAUUUUUCAUUAUAUCUCCCAUUCUUGUAUACCCAUUUUACUCCACACCCCUUUGUACCAAAACAUGCAUCACCUAGAGCAUAUUUAGAUAUAAUCUCAGACCUUGGUGUUAAAUAGUGCAUAUUUCUUAAUAUACUUCACUCCCUUGUAUACCCACACAUUACACAAAACAUAUUUCUACAUAAAGUAAAACCUGCUUUAGUGGUCACCUCUGUUCAUCAGCCAGUCUGUCUUAAGCAGCAUUCUAUAAAUUACUUGCAUUAAGCAGCCACCUGCUGUAAGCAGCCACUUUUUCCCACUCCCUUGGCUGGCUACUUAAGACAGAUUUUACUGUACUUCCAACCAAGACUUACCCCAGCAUUGCCUAUAACUGGCGACUGAUAUGCCUGUAUCACUUUGCGUUCUUCCUGCAUUAAAAAUUAAAGUUUGAAUAAUAAUAAUAGGUCAAUAUUUAUGAAAAAGGUACAUUUGUAAAUUUAUUUUCUCUUCCUUUGUCAAGCCUGGCUGCAGCUGACGUGUCAUAAAGAGGAUAGCAAAUACAUGUGUAGUUCUGGUAUGGAAUUUUUUGAAUGAGUUUAGUAAAGUUAUAUUAUUCCAGCCUCUGGCAAACAUGAUAUUUUUUAUUCAGCAGAUUCAGUAAAUUCAGUACUGAAAACUACACAUAUUUCAUAUUUAUCACAUGCAGACACCAAACAUCCUUUUCAGACUCUAAUACUAUAAAAAUGGAAGACAUUAUAUAUAAUAAGGUUACUCAGUCUUGAGCUGAAAACAGAGUUCUCAAUGUGAUGAAUAAUCAGAGCUCCAGAUAAGCUUUUGGUGCAAUUGGGUAUUUACCCAUCACUUUUUGUCUGAAUUGGGUAUUGGAAAUUUGAAUUGGGUAAAAAUAAUAUCAUUACCCAGCCUUUUCAGAAGUAAUUGGGUAUUUGCUAAAACCAAUUGGGUAUUUUACCAAUCUCGCACUAACAAUUGAGUAUUUUUUUGCUUACAGUAUACAUGGUAUAUAUCAUUAAACAGGACUGACUGCGCCCUUCAAUGUUUAAUACAAAAAUGUAUUUAAAAUUGUAAUGAAUGUUUCAUACUGUUGUUUUUCUUUUUCACUUUUAAUGCAGUCUGUGAUCAGUUCAUCCACAAUAUCCCGAACGAUGUGGUCACCGCAAUAUGCAUUGUCCCAAAAGAUGUCAUCCAGUAUUGGUGACACUAUAUCGUCACAAACAGAUAACUGUCAUUGUUGAACAGCAAAAUAUCCCACUAAUUUGUUUGUUUGUGCUGCAACAAUGUUUUUUCCUGCAACCUCUUUUCAUUUAUCGGCGUAAAAUUGUUUACAAAGCGUCCAAAUAACACCGAUCAGCCGACUGAAUGGUCCUGUUAUUUUUCUGAUAAAUUGCAACCUGUUCUGCAAUAACGUAUAACCAGUCAGUCAAAUCUAGCGUUAAAGUCUCGUACCCGUUCUAGUUAAAUAUGGAAAAUGCGAUACGCAAGCUAUUUUUUACGAAUUGGGUAUUAGGAAUUUUAAUUGCGUUUCAGUACGCACACUGUAUGAAUUCAAUUGGGUUUUCUGCAAUUUUAAUUGCGUAAAUACGCAAAUACGCAGCUUAUCUGGAGCUCUGAAUAAUACAUACAUAUAUUAUAAGAAUCUGUUCGUCCAUCCACAAUUUCGAGUCUGGUCCAUAAUUCUGUCAUUCAUUGAAGGAUUUUGAUAUUACUUGGCACAAAUGUGCCCCAUGAUGAGACGACGUACCAUGCACAAAGCCCGGACCACUAGCUCAAAUGUCAAGGUCACACUUGGAGGUCCAAGGUCAGCAGGGCUUUUUUCCUGUCCUGACCAUAACUCUGCCAUCCAUGAAGGGAUUUUAAUAUUACUUGGCGCAAAUGUACCUCGUAAUAAGACGAUGUGUACAAAUUUCAGACCCCAAGGUCAAGGUCACACUUGGCAGUCAAAUGUUAGCAUGGCAUGAACGGGGGGUGUGUUUUGUUUUUUAAUAUUACUUGACACAAAUGUUCCCCAUAAUGAGACAAUGUGUCAUGUACAAUACCCAGACCCCUAGUGCAAAGGUCAAGGUCACACCUAAAGGUCAAAAGUUAACAUUCAUCUUUUCCUAUCCAGCCUGUAAAAUAUUUUAAUAAAAGCUCAUGUGCCAUAUGGACCCAUUUUGAGCUCGACUUUUCGAAGAAAAAGUAAAGCUAUUGCACUCGCCCGGGGCGUCGGCAUCGCCGUUGGUUAAAGUUUUUGAUGAAGUCAGAUAUCUCUGUUACUAUAAAAGCUAUUGACUAGAAACACCAAGAGAAACAAUCCACAUAACUCUGAUUUGAAUUUUCAUGGAGUUAUGCCCCAUUUUGACUUAGAAUUUUUUGUUAAAGUUUUUUAUAAAGUCAAUAUCUCUGUCACUGUCAAAGCUAUUGGCUUGAAACUUAAAAUAGUUAACUAUCAAAGUCUACACCAGGAGAAACGAUCCCCAUAACUCUGAUUUGAAUUUUGACAGAGUUAUGCCCUUUUUAACUUAGAAUUUUUGGUUAAUUGUUUUGAUAACAUCAAAUAUCUUUAGUACUAUUAAAUCUAUUGACUUGAAACUUGAAAUAGUUAUUUACUGGCAAAGUCUACACCAGGAGAAACAAUCCCCAUAACUCUGAUUUGAAUUUUGACAAAGUUAUGCCCCUUUUUAACUUAGAAUUUUUGGUAAAAGAUUUUGAUUAAGUCAGAUAUCUCUGUUUGUAUCAAAGCUAUUGACUUGAAACUUAAAAUGGUUAUUUACUAUCAUAGUCUACACCAGGAGAAACAAACCCCAUAACUCUGAUUGAAUUUUGACAGAGUUAUGCCCUUUUUUAACUUAGAUUUUUCGGUGAAAGUUUUAUAAAGUUUUUACUGGCAAAGCUCUAAUUCAGUCAAGCACUGAGAAAAGUCGAGCGCACUGUCAUUUGGACAGCUCUUGUAAAAAAUAUACUAUAUGUACAGGUAUUUCAUAUCAAUGUUAUGGAGUUGGAUUAAAGGCACGUGCAUGUGAUAAAUUAUUAAAGUUUUCUCUCCCCUGGAUUUAACUGCACCUUUUCUUGCCUAGUUAGCCGGAAAGUAUAUAAUUAUCUAGCGGAUAUUACUGUCUACCUUGUCAAUGAUAGUUCGAUCCUCGGGCGGGGCGUAUGUUCUCCGUGACUAUUUGAUAAACGACAUUGUGUCUAAAAUCAUUAGUCCUCCACCUCUGGUUCAUGUGGGGAAGUUGGCAGUUAAUUGCGGAGAACAGGUUUGUACUGGUACAGAAUCCAGGAACACUGGUUAGGUUAACUGCCCGCCGUUACAUGACUGAAAUACUGUUGAAAAACGGCGUUAAACCCAAAACAAACAAACAAAUUGUCAAUGAUAGUGUGCGCUUAGAGUGAUGUCAUAAUAGUAAGAUCCUCAUAAUAAAUACUAUUACCAGAGGUCCAAAGAUCAAGUCAAUAGAUUUGACCUUUGACAAGCCCUUAAAUAAGAGUUUUUAUGCCCCCGAAGGGAGGCAUAUAGUUUUUGAACCGUCUGUCUGUCGGUCUGUCAGUCUGUCGGUCUGUCGGUCUGUCCGCAUUUUUCGUGUCCGGUCCAUAUCUUUGUCAUCGAUGGAUGGAUUUUCAAAUAACUUGGCAUGAAUGUGUACCACAGUAAGACGACGUGUCGCGCGCAAGACCCAGGUCCGUAGCUCAAAGGUCAAGGUCACACUUAGACAUUAAAGGUUAUUGCAUUGAUGGGCGUGUCCGGUCCAUAUCUUUGUCAUCGAUGGAUGGAUUUUCAAAUAACUUGGCAUGAAUGUGUACCACAGUAAGACGACGUGUCGCGCGCAAGACCCAGGUCCGUACCUCAAAGGUCAAGGUUACACUUAGACAUUAAGGGAUAGUGCAUUGAUGGGCGUGUCCGGUCCAUAUCUUUGUCAUCAAUGGAUGGAUUUUCAAAUAACUUGGCAUGAAUGUGUACCACAGUAAGACGACAUGUAGCGCGCAAGACCCAGGUCCGUAUCUCAAAGGUCAAGGUCACACUUAGACAUUAAGGGAUAGUGCAUUGAUGGGCGUGUCCGGUCCAUAUCUUUGUCAUCGAUGGAUGGAUUUUCAAAUAACUUGGCAUGAAUGUGUACCACAGUAAGACGACGUGUCAUGCGCAAGACCCAGGUCCGUAGCUCAAAGGUCAAGGUCACACUUAGAUGUUAAAGGUCUUUUUUCAUGAUAGUGCAUUGAUGGGCGUGUCUGGUCCAUAUCUUUGUCAUUCAUGCAUGCAUUUUAAAAUAACUACGCAUAAAUGUGUGACACAGUAAGACGACGUGUCGCGCGCAAGACCCAGCUCCGUAGGUCAAAGGUCCUAAACUCGAACAUCGGCCAUAACUAUUCAUUUAAAGUGCCAUCGGGGGCAUGUGUCAUCCUAUGGAGACAGCUCUUGUUUUAUGUGACAUAGGAUAUAUCAUUCAUACAGGAACUGAUUAUUAAGGAACAAUAAAUAAAGAACACAAUUUGGACACAGUUUAAAUAUGAAUACUCUCUCAGACUUAAACCCUGAAGUGACAUAUAUCCAGAGAAUAAAUGGAAAAAGGUGAAAAGCAAGAAUUGGGCAAAGUUUUAUUCCCAGGUUGAACUGAUUGAGUAGUUCAGCUGAUGUAUUGAAAAUAAAUAAAGAAGCAUCAGAACAUGUUGUAAAUUAUACACUUUCUUUCAUCUAUAAAAUUAUACUUAAAAAAAGAUAUUAUUGUUUUCACAGAUACCCCUUACCUAAAAAAUGUUUCCACAGACUACUUGACCGGUUUGUGACACUAAGUAAGCUAUACAUACUUACUUAGAUGCAGUUGAGAUAUUGUUGAUCUGCACUGGUGUGUAGUUUUCAUCAUGGGUUUAAUCUUUUUCACCGCCUCGGUAGCCUAGUGGUAGAGCGUCCGCUUCGAGUGCGGGAGGUCGUGGGUUCGAUCCCCAACCGCGUCAUAUCAAAGACGUAAAAAAUGGUACUAGUAGCUUCCUCGCUUGGCGCUCAGCAUUAAGAGGAUAGUGCUAGGACUGGUCAGCCCGGUGUCAGUAUAAUGUGACUGGGUGGGAUAUCAUGCCACGUGUCUACGGCGUGAUAUUCAAGUGAGGCAGCACUAUAAAGUUGGGCAUUGUGCUCACUGCUACAAGUAGACACCGUCGUUUAUAUGACUGAAAAAUUGUUGAAAAAGACGUUAAACCCGAACACACACACACACACACACACACACACACCUUUUUCACAAGCAUUAUAGAUAAUAAAAAUAACCCCAGUUUUACAGAUAUUCAAUGUUAUAGGUUGAAAAAGACUUGAGCAAACAUUUACUAAGAUAUAACAUGCAGAUUAUCACUUCCAGUGGCAUGAAGCUAUAUGAGGGACAGUCAUGCACUUUUCAAUAAUAGUCUCUUGUUUACUUAUUAGCCCAGUAAACAUGGGUAGAAUAUAGCACAAACUAUGGACUACUAGGGAUAUAGGGGUUGGGUAACAAGUUCAUUUAAUAACAUAAAGCUGGUAUAACAUAAUAUACGCCACAGUGUGCAGCCCCAUUUACACAAGUCAGUACAAAAUUGAUCCUUUUCAGUAUUUAAUAAUGACAUCAUGUGCAACUAUGGCUACAGUAAAAAACACUAUAAAACAUGUGUACAGCUUACAGCACAGCCCUGCUUCCCAGAUUUCUUAACUCUGCUAAAAGUUUGCUGCUAGAUAAGGAGGGGACACUCCUUGUUCAAGGUAUUCAACAUUUUUGGACCACCAUCCCAGUAUGAUUACAUGACCUGAUUGUAUGAAUGUGUGACCACCACAACCACUAUUUUUGCAUGUAAAGGAAACUUGGGAUAAGUCUACACUAAUAAAAUGUUAAGGACUGUAUCAUGUAUACUUCAUUAAAGUCAUGUUCAGUAGGUGAAAACUGAAGAAAAAAAUCUUUCUGACCUACAUACCUACAUGUAACUAUUGCUUGUGGUGAGUAAAUGACCCCAGUUGAUUUAAGGUCAAUAGGACCCGGAGAUUUAGAUUUGGUUUCUGGUUAUUAAAUGAGUAAUACUUAAAGAUUUUGGAUACUUUUUAGUCCAAGACUGUACCUAUGAAACCGAGUGAUAUGAGUUAACACUUUCCUAGUAGCCAAUUUUAGCUUGUUGACUCGGUGUCAAUAUAUUUGUAUUGUUUUUUUCAUCUGUCUAAGUAAUCACUAGUUCAUUGCAGAGAUAUACUACAGCCAACAAGCAAACAUGGUUUAUUUUCUGCAAAAGCAGUAAUGGCAGCGUUUGUGGAAAUACAUCAAUAGAAGGUGGAUGUUUAUCAAACCUAAAAUGGCCAAUCGCAGCAAAAUAGAAAGUAUGGAAAGUUGAAGAUGAAAAAUGGACUAUUAAUAGACCGUAAUUGAAGAACAUAACAGCGGAUGGCGGAGACUAUCCCUCAUAAUGACUGGGCCUACUUGGAAGAAGUUCACACCAAAUUACUGCAAGUCCUUGUCCGACAGUGCCAGUAGAGUAUCAUCUAUGAUCAGUAUAAUUAUGAUGGACCACGUCUCACCGACUCGCAGGUCAAAGCCUUCAGUCACACAAGUACACUAGCAGCCUGGACACUCAAGCAGAAAUAAGGUCUAUCUGUAUGAAGGAGAUUGGUGUAUGGAUGAAAAAAUAUCCCAACAUGUUUCUCCAUGAUGGACACUUGAAAUAUGUUGGCUUGACUUUGUAUGACAAGGUUGGUGAUGUAAGACUUGGUUUUCUGAAAGCACUAUAUCCUGUGAUACAUCCGAUCUCUGUCACAAACUGGAGUACUUCACCAACAGAGUCAAGUUUAAUUAUUUCUUGAAAGCUUCCUGAAAUUGUCCGUAUAGUUGAGAUGACACUAGACAAGGAGACAGAAGUGGCAGUACAAGGAGUGAAGCUCAGUCCAUCAGUAUUCUCAGGUUGCCCAGACAGCUGCUGGUGAGUUUCUGAACGCCAAGUUGUUCCGACAUGAAGAGGAUGAUGCUUCUACAGCCAAAGAUGCCUGUCCUGGUGAAAUGAUCAAGUUCAGCAGGCAGCGAGGCUUGUUUAUCAUUGGUCAUGUGUAUCCACCACUGACUGAUGUCACAAUUACUGUGUACGAUAGCGCAGACAAAGUGGAUGCUGUCACAGCACUGACCAGUGAAAAGGGAGAUUUCAAGAUUGGUCCACUUCACAAGGGUUAUGAUUAUAUGGUGAAGGCAGAGAAGGAUGGUUAUGUGCUGGAGAAAGAUGAGAAAGAAAUGGCUGUAUUCCGUGCCAGAAAACUCAGCAGAAUUGAUGUUAAG